CUUACCUGAAAGACGGUUGUGUUUAGACGAGAAUCCUGUACCAACUCUCUAAUGUGUCAAGUGCGAUCGAGCGUGUUGCUCCCUCAACGAAAUGGAUCAAGGAUCUCCUUCCAAAGAUGAAUCUUUUGGAACCCCAUCAACCUCUCCCUGUAUCUACAAUAUGGCAUUGCUUCACAAGUCUACGAUGCAUACCCUUCUUUGAUAACCGUCAAUUCAGAACAUCUUGAAAGAAUCGGAGUACCAAUAAUUAUCCGAAAUAUUGACCCUCCCCUCGCCCCUGCGAUUAGAGGCUGGAAACCACUACAACGAAAUGUGUAUAUCCAACACAAUGAUCAACCAACCAAUGACAAUUUCAAUUAUACAAUGUAUCCUACUUCCUACCUUUUCCCUUACUGACAUAAGAGGGGAGUAAGCCACCCCUAAAUAUGGCUUUUCCUUCCCCCACUAACACCUGAA